rnacentral:lncRNA from 1 species
GUGAACGAGAAGAGAAAGAGAAGAAAGAGAAGGAGGUACGUGAACGAGAAGAGAAAGAGAAGAAAUUGAAAGAAGCUCGUGAACAAGAAGAGAAUGAGCAGAGAUUGAAGGAAGCUCGUGAACGAGAAGAGAAUGAGAAGAGAUUGAAGGAAGCUUGUGAACAAGAAGAGAAUGAGAAGAGAUUGAAGGAAGCUCGUGAACGAGAAGAGAAAUUGAAGGAAGCUUGUGAACGAGAAGAGAAAUUGAAGGAAGCUCG